CAUAGAUUAGUGUUCUUCAUAAUGUCGUAUAUUUUGUAUACUCGCGUUGCUUUUAUAUUGACUUAUUAUUUUGUUUUUAUCCCCAAGAGAAUUCUGAUAGUUACCGAUUUUAGUUGAUAUAGUUUUAAUUAGGAUUGGGCGUUUACGCAUAAAAUAUAAUUUACAUUACGCCUAAAAUGAAAAAUAUUUGUCAAUUAUCUUACUUGUCAUCUAUGUAAACAAUAAUAAAAUGAAUCAUUAAAGAUUCAGAUUUUAUCAGAAAUAAUAAGAAUUAUAUUUAAUUUUUUUAUUUCUAAGAUUAUUUUUAAUUUAUCAAAAAGUCAAAUCUAUUAACAAAUUUUACAACUUAAUUACUUUUUUGUACUAUGUUAUCCAAUUUGUAAUAAUGUGCAUUGUUUGAAUUACCUACAAUGCAGAAAAAGAUUGGUCCUAUAGGAAACAAUGUGUAGAUAAUUCACGUGGAUGUAAUCUCCAAAAAUUUACACCACAAUCAUGAUUUUUUAAGAUAAAAAUCCUUUCAGACUUACUGAUACUGAUGCGCAGCAGUGGAGUUACAAACUGCAUUAAUCUGUAACAUAUAAUAAUAAAUAUGUACAAAUUAAAAUAAUCAACAUUUCAAAAGAUAUAAAUUAUUACACGCAUUUAAUUCUUUAUUUAUUCAUUAAACAGUCUCGCUAGUAGCAAAAAACGGUGACACAAUAUUGAAAAGUAAUAUAAUAUUCCCAAUAUUGGUUCAAUAUUAUAAAGUGAAUGCUUCAUCUUAUUCACCCAAUUUGUCUAAGCAGCAAUAUUGGUUCAAUAUUGAUUUAGUAUUAGGUCGGUAUUGAACCAAUUGAUUUUUCAUAUUAAACAUUAAUUGCAUUCUAACUUGGAACCAAUAUUUUAUGACAAAUAUUGGCAUUACAUUGGGGAACAUUGGGAAAACUUUGGUCAAUGCAUUCCCAAUAUAACUAAUAUAAUUAAUAUUUAGUCAAUAUUAGCCAAUAUACUGCCAAUGUAUUUUGCUACUAGGGAGAUAUUUAAUUUAACAAAUUAAAUUGUAUUUACAAUAAUCUUUUAGACAAAACUCUCAUAAAAAGUAAUUAUAAAUACAUAAAAACUUCUCAAUAGUAAAUAGUUUUACCCAUGGUUGCUCCACCGACGCCUGAUGCCCUCCUUGGACCUCCUCCCCCUUCUUCGUUAUCGUCGCUCCUCCAUCACCUCCAUGGCACCUUCGUGCGGCAGUUGCCACACACUAUUUGCAUGACAAUAAUUGAAGCUAACAACUGAAUCGCGUGAUACUUUACGUCCUUUACGACACUCCCGAUGACGAUCACAAAACGGAAGAACGCGCGAUUCCGCGAAACUACGAUUCGCUCGAAAACCGCUUCUUCACGACACUCGGUACAAGAUUCACUCGCGAAAAACGCGUUGUCGACGAGAAUCAUGCGUUCGCUGCGCGAACGAUACGCAACGAUCACACGCGAGUAAAACACGAAACGAGAUUUGUUUGACUCGCGAUGCAACAGGUGCUAACCUUGCAUACGAACGCAGUUACUUCUACGCACAGUGUACACUUGAAAAACGCGGCCGCGGUUUCGUUCUCCUACGGGCUCCGGGCUUCUCCUCCGCGUUGGCGCGUUUACGCAGCCUAAACGUUUACCGACCGAGUCGAAGGCCUGCGCAGUCGUUACAGCUUCGCGCGACGGCCACGUAGUUCUGGAGCGCGCGCGCGCGCGCGAGUAUCGCGUAUAUUGUGCGGGUGAAAAGAAUUGUUAGAAAAAUGUGUGUGCGACGGAAGAGCGAAUUCUCUCCUGGGGGCUAUGCAUUUGUGAUCGCGCCGCUUCAAUUCGCCGACGUCGCCGUCGGCCAUUUAGGACGCGCCGGUGUCACAAAAGUAUGUUCACGCAUCCGGACCUUGGGGAUCACUAGAAAAUGUUUAACAGCGGCACGAGGUAAUACUAACCGUUAAUUCAUGUAUGUGCGUUGGAUUUCAACGUACGACAUGAGGUAAAACUAAUUAUUUAACGUUUUCGAUCGGCCUGGGUUAAUCGCUCCGGGAGCGAUUAAUGACGUCAUAAGGUCAAUCACAGCCAUUCUUCUGAAGAAGGGAAUAACUGUGAUUGGCCAGUUCCAGAGGAAAUCCCGCCAAUUAUACUCACUCUCUCGAUUUUUUUUCAGGGUAUGUUCACGCAUCCGGACCUUGGGGAUCACUAGAAAAUGUUUAACAGCGGCAGGAAGUAAUACUAACCGUUAAUUCAUGUGCAUUGGAUUUCGACGUACAACACGAGGUAAAACUAAUUAUUUAACGUUUUCGAUCGGCCUGGGUUAAUCGCUCCGGGAGCGAUUAAUGACGUUAUAAGGUCAAUCACAGCCAUUCUUCUGAAGAAGGGAUAACUGAUUGGCCAGUUCCAGAGGAAAAGACGGGUCGAAAACGCCAAUUAAUUCAUGUACACUGCACUUCUUGUACUCAAUUUUAUUGAAUUUUGUCUUAUUUCCGAAGGGCUUUUUAUUCUUUAUUAUGUUAGGGAUAAUAUUGGCAAGAUAAUGUCGUUGAUUCAGAGAAUUGUAUCUGGAGAGAAAAGUCUCUAAUUAAAUAUAAAUUAAUAUAAUUGAAGGCAAGAA